CAGUGUGUAGCGCAGCCUGGCCAGCGCGCCGCGCUUGGACCGCGGAGGUCGUGAGUUCGAAUCUCACCGCACUGA
rnacentral:tRNA from 1 species